rnacentral:rRNA from 1 species
UACGGAGGGUGCAAGCGUUUAUCCGGAUUUACUGGGUUUAAAGGGUGCGUAGGUGGGUCUGUAAGUCAGUGGUGAAAUCUCCGAGCUUAACUCGGAAACUGCCAUUGAUACUAUAGGUCUUGAAUUAUCUGGAGGUAAGCGGAAUAUGUCAUGUAGCGGUGAAAUGCUUAGAUAUGACAUAGAACACCAAUUGCGAAGGCAGCUUACUACGGAUCGAUUGACACUGAGGCACGAAAGCGUGGGGAUCAAACAGG